AUAGGAAAAUACAGUUUGCCUUACACUCCAAACAGUGAAACUCUUCUAACUGGUAAGGUUACAUUUUCUCAAAUUGUUGCAUAUCAGUUGAACAACGUGAACCCAAGCUCUUUGUAAUAUCAAAAACAGCAUAAACAACCUAAAGCAAAUUGUAACAAUAUAUUGUAGUGUUCAAAUAAUGUUGAAUAAUAUCAGAAUGAAACAUUUCAAUGAACAAUUGAAAUAUGCCUUCACAUUAUGCCAAACGGUUUGUUUGGAUAUUUGGGUUUCACACUUACAAACGCACAUUGUACUAUAGAUUACUUUUAUUUAACAGUUUGACAAACUGUAGAAUGCAUUAGUGUUGGUUUCCCGAUUCUCGACCGCAUCGAAAAGCCAAGUGUCAACUUGGUCGCAUUUCUGAUCUGCAUUUUUGUUAAAGCCUAGGAGUUCCAGCUGAAAUAAAAGGCCAGCAAGGAUCCCAUCGUAGGGGACUUUUUGCAACAUCACGAUCGUGCCGGAUGUGCCGCAUCGAGUCGAUCGUUUGUAUGCAGACGGAAAAGGAGAGGACAUCAGCGAGUAGAGUACACCGUCGUUGCGCUGGACUACGAUGUGGCCUCGGAUGUGGCUUUGGAUCCGGUGUUACUGGCGAUCCACGAUAGGAGUGCGGAACACUGCAUGAUUGGAUUUAGCUGGAUAUCGACUGGCUCAAGUACUGGAUCAAGAAGUGAACAAUGAGUAGUAAUUGGUUCCAGUGACAG